rnacentral:lncRNA from 1 species
UGCCCCUUUGAACUCUUGACUCCAAGCUCCUUGAGAAAGAAGCAUAUUGCUGGGAAUGAAAGAUCUCUAAUGAGACCAAAUGGCAGAACAAGAUUUCUCACCUCUAUAGCUCUGAGCUGGAGGGACCACCAAGUAUUUCCAGACAAGGAGGAACUGUCACCUCACAUUGCUUGUGAAUCACUGCACAUCUGGUCCUCCUGCCCUGGGACAAGAACUGCAGCAGGAAAAGUCAAUGAGGACUACAUGAAGCCAAAGAAACGUUAGGUGUUGUCUCUGUGAUGCCAAACAUCUGGCUGAAAAUGGAAUAAAAAAGGGAAGCAUCAGGAUGCA